ACUUUUGUUGUUACUUUUUCUUCAUUUGCUCCAAUUUCUCCGUCAAUCUCCACGAAUAUCUAUACUACCAUUUUUAAUCAAUGUCAUGCAAUAAAAAGGUUUGGUUUUGUAGUAUUGUGUAAAGAAUGUAGCCUUAAUGUGCAAUCUUCUUCUUUUUAUCAGGAAAGUACAAUACUUGAGGCAGGUUGGAAACAUGAAGGAGGUGGUAAGCAGACAAAAUGUUAACCAGGAGUUGAUUUCGAUGCUGGAUGAAUGUGCUGAGGGUGUUCUCUACAAUCAGUGGAAAACUAAGUUUUCACCCGACUUGGUGCUGAGGGCAGAUGACAAGAAGAAACCCUACCCAGAAAACAUACUGGGAUUACUCCGCUUCAUGCGAAACCUCCAGGAGCACUAUCCCGAUGAUGCAGCCAGCGUUGAUCUGACAUCACUGUUUCCUCAUCUCUUUGGAUGCGUUUAUAAAUUCACCAUAAGGAAAAAGUGGAAUUUAGAUUAUCCCCUGAAGGGAAUGUU